rnacentral:rRNA from 1 species
GAUGAACGCUGGCGGCGUGCCUAAUACAUGCAAGUCGAACGAAACUUCUUUAUCACCGAGUGCUUGCACUCACCGAUAAAGAGUUGAGUGGCGAACGGGUGAGUAACACGUGGGCAACCUGCCCAAAAGAGGGGGAUAACACUUGGAAACAGGUGCUAAUACCGCAUAACCAUAGUUACCGCAUGGUAACUAUGUAAAAGGUGGCUAUACUACCGCUUUUGGAUGGGCCCGCGGCGCAUUAGCUAGUUGGUAGGGUAAAGGCUUACCAAGGCAAUGAUGCGUAGCCGAAUUGAGAGGUUGAGCGGCCACAUUGGGACUGAGACACGGCCCAAACGCCUACGGGAGGCAGCAGUAGGGAAUCUUCCACAAUGGGCGAAAGCCUGAUGGAGCAACGCCGCGUGGGUGAAGAAGGUCUUCGGAUCGUAAAACCCUGUUGUUAGAGAAGAAAGUGCGUGAGAGUAACUGUUCACGUUUCGACGGUAUCUAACCAGAAAGCCACUGCUAACUACGUG